GUGCCACCUGGGGGUCUCUGGGGCUGUGCUGGGCUUCUUGUGGCCACUUGAGGCCACUUGGGGGCUGUGCUGGGCUUCCUGGUGCUACCUGGGGCUGUGCUGGGCUUCUUGUGGCCACCUGGGGUUUCCUGGGGCCAUCUGAAGGUUCCUGGGGCUGUUGCUGGGCUUUUUGGGGCUACCUGGGGGUUCCUGGGGCCGUGCUGGGCUCUCUGGGGCCAUUUGGGGCUUCCUGGGGCUGGCUUAGGGUUUUUGGGGCCAUUUGGGGCUUCCUGGAGCUGUGCUGGGCUUCUUGUGGCCAUCUGGGGGCUCCUGGGGCCGUGCUGGGCUUUGCCAGGUGAGCAACACCUCAGUUUCCAUUUUUGNNNNNNNNNNNNNNNNNNNNNNNNNNNNNNNNNNNNNNNNNNNNNNNNNNNGGGAUUUGGGGUGGGCAGCAGCCAGCUCCUUUGGGAGCUGUGGGGCUGAGCUUGGGGAUGUGGAGAGGCUGUUUUGGGGUCAGGAAGUGGGGAUUUGGGGGCAGAAAGUGGGGAUUUGGGGACGGGAUUUGGAAAUAGAGCCUGGGAGGAGCACAGGGUUUGGGGCUCGGGGCUUUAGGGCUGAACUUGGGUCCUUGGGAGGUUUGGGGAUGGAUUUGGGGGUUUGGAGACAUCCCGGUUUUGGGGCUGGAUGUGGGGAUUUGGGGCUGGCUUUGGGUUUUUGGAGACAUCUCCGUUUUGGGGCUGGAUGUGGAGAUUUGGGGCUGGAUGUGGAGAUUUGGGGCUGGAUGUGGAGAUUUGGGGCUGGAUGUGGAGAUUUGGGGCUGGAUGUGGGGGUUUGGAGACAUCCCUGUUUUGGGGCUGAAUGUGGGGAUUUCAGGCUGGAUUUGGGGGUUUGGAGUCAUCCCUAUUUUGGGGCUGGAUGUGGAGAUUUGGGUCUGGAGACAUCCCUGUUUUGGGGCUGAAUGUGGGGAUUUCAGGCUGGAUGUGGGGAUUUGGAGACAUCCCAGUUUUGGGGCUGGCUUUGGAUUUUUGGAGACAUCCCAGUUUUGGGGCUGGUUUUGGGUUUUUGGAGACAUCCCUGUUUUGGGGCUGGAUGUGGAGAUUUGGGUCUGGAUGUGGGGAUUUGGAGUCAUCCCUAUUUUGGGGCUGGAUGUGGGGGUUUGGAGACAUCCCUGUUUUGGUGCUGGAUGUGGGGAUUUCAGGCUGGUUUUGGGUUUUUGGAGACAUCCCAGUUUUGGGGCUGGAUGUGGAGAUUUGGAGACAUCCCAGUUUUGGGGCUGGUUUUGGGUUUUUGGAGACAUCCCCAUUUUGGGGCUGGAUGUGGAGAUUUGGGGCUGGAUGUGGGGGUCUGGAGACAUCCCUGUUUUGGGGCUGGAUGUGGAGAUUUGGGACUGGAUGUGGGGGUUUGGAGUCAUCCCCGUUUUGGGGCUGGAUGUGGGGAUUUGGGGCUGAAUGUGGGGGUUUGGAGCCACCCCUGCUUUGGAGCCAGCCAUGAAAGUUUUGGCAUCACCGCUCCGGAGCUGCGCGCAGCGCAGGUCUCCGUUUAACCCCAAAUCCCACCCUGUUUUCCCCCUCCUGCGGGUCAGAACCCCUCCCUCCAUUUCCCCACAACCCCACAGCUGACAGCGUGGGGCAAAUCCCUUCCUCCCUGUCCUUAGGGAGCCCGAAACCACCCCGCUUGCGUCAGGUAUCGGGGGCGGCUCCCGGUCCGCCCGGGGCGCGGUGUGGCACACCCGGACUUUGCUCCCAGCCCUGCCUGCCUCCAAACCCCCCCCCCUCUCCUCUCCACCCCCUUCUCCUUCCUUCUCCUCCUCCUGGGGGGGGGGGGCUGUAAACUGAGUGUCCCCUCUGUGUCCCCCCGCAGCCGGCGCUGGGCCACGCGGAAGGGAAGGGAGCUGGGAAGCCCAACAUGCUGCGGGGCCGCAACUCGGCCACCUCCGCCGACGAGCAGCCCCACAUCGGCAACUACAGGCUGCUGAAAACCAUCGGCAAGGGCAACUUCGCCAAGGUCAAACUGGCCCGGCACGUCCUGACCGGCAAGGAGGUGAGCAGCCACAACAAUAGGGCCGGUCCUGGGCUGCUGGUCCUCAUCCUGAGGGUCACGGUGUGAUGUAAGGCCAGUGCUGGGCUGCUGGUCCUCAUCCUGAGAUCCCCAGUGUUGUGUAAGGCCAGUGCUGGGCUGCUGGUCCUCAUCCUGAGGGUCCCAGUGUGAUGUAAGGCCAGUUCUGGGCUGCUGAUCCUCAUCCUCUGAGUCCCAGUGUGAUGUAAGGCCAGUGCUGGGCUGCUGGUCCUCAUCCUGAGGGUCCCAGUGUGAUCUGAGGCCAGUGCUGGGCUGCUGUCCUCAUCCUGUGAGUCCCACUGUGAUCUGAGGCCAGUGCUGGGCUGCUGGUCCUCAUCCUGAGGGUCCCACUGUGAUGUAAGGCCAGUGCUGGGCUGCUGGUCCUCAUCCUGA
rnacentral:lncRNA from 1 species